GAUUAAUAAAAUUGUUUAUAUGUAAAUUAUUUAUUAGAAUAUUAAAUUUAAUAAAUUUGUGUUAUUGUAUAAUUAAUUGAUAAAAUUUUUUUUACUAUAGUGAAUUAGUACUGUGAAGGAAAAAACGUUAAAUUAUUUUUAUAAUUGGUUAUAGGUAAUUUUAUUUAUUGUAUCUUGUGUAUCAGAGUAAAUUGAAAUGGAUUAUAAAUUUUUUUAUUCUCGAAUUUGAAAGAUUUAAUUGAAAAUAUUAGUUGUUGUUUCAAAAAUAUUAAUAAUUUUUAAUUGGUAAUGAAAUGUUAUUCGUUUUUAAGGAUAUCUAGUUUUUUAAUAAACGAAUUUAAUUCGAAGGAUGUUAAGUUAAUAUAUAAAUUUAUGUUUAAAUAUUUUAUGUUCUUAAUUUUAAAGGGGAUAAACUCUUUAAAAUAAAAUUAUAAUGAAAUAAUUAAUGAGGAUUUUAUGAAUUUAGAGUUUGUUAUUAAUUAAAGGAUGUUAAAAUUUAAUUCUUAUUUUCUUUGAUUUUUAAUUUUUAUUUAAUUUUUAUAUUAAAAUUUUAAACUUAAUUUAAGAGUUUUGGAAAGUAUGAUUUAAUUAGUAAAAUUUAAUCAGUAUAAAGUAAAAUAAGUUGUAUAUUUAAUAUAAAGAACUAGGCAAAUAUUUUGCUCGCCUGUUUAUUAAAAACAUGGUUUCUUGAUAUAUAUAAGAAAUCUGACCUGCCCACUGAAGAUAAUUUUGAAGGGCCGCAGUAUUUUGACUGUGCAAAGGUAGCAUAAUCAUUAGUCUUUUAAUUGAAGGCUAGUAUGAAUGGUUGGACGAGGUAAAUUCUGUUUUAUAUUAAUUGAAAUUGAAUUUAGAUUUUAAGUAAAAAGACUUAAAUGUUAUUAAGGGACGAGAAGACCCUGUAGAGUUUAAUAUAUAAAGUAAUUAAUUGAGUUAAAAAGUUAAAUUUUUGAUUUUUAUGAAAUUUAUUUAAUUGGGGUGAUUAGAAGAUAAAAUAAACUCUUCUUAAAAUUUAAUAGGUUAAUUAGUUAUGUGAUCCAUAUUUAAUGAUUAAAAGAUUAAAUUACCUAAGGGAUAACAGCAUAAUUCUUUUUGAGAGUUCAUAUCGAAAAAGGAGAUUGUGACCUCGAUGUUGGAUUAAGAUUAGUUAUGGGUGCAGAUGUUCAAUAACUAGGUCUGUUCGACCUUGAAAAUCUUACAUGAUCUGAGUUUAAACCGGCGUGAGCCAGGUUGGUUUCUAUCUUUAAUUAAUUUAAAUAUUUUAGUACGAGAGGACCAAAUAUUUAAAAUAAUUUUUUUGUAAUUUGAAUAUUAUUAAUUAAA
rnacentral:rRNA from 1 species